ensembl:misc_RNA 7SK 7SK RNA
GGAUGUGAGGGUGAUCUGGCUACGACAACUGUCACCCCAACCCAUUGAUCACCAGGGUUGAUUCAGCUGAUCUGGCUGGCUAGGCAGGUGUCCCCUUCCUCCCUCACAGCUCCAUGUACAUCCCUCCUGAAGCUGCAUUCUCAGUGGAAGAGGAUGGCCUUCCUGGAAUAUAGAAGAACCAGUCUUCUGUGGAGGGUACAGGAGUAGCUGCACUCCCCUGCUAGAACCUCCAAACAAGUUCUCAUACUUCACUAUCCAGAUUACAUGAUAACACUUAACUUCAGGAUUCCUAGUAACAUAAUCCUAUAAUUUUUCAAAAGUAAAGAGAACUAUAACUAUUGAUAGAAAGUACUU